AUUGAACGCUAGCGGGAUGCUUUACACAUGCAAGUCGAACGGCAGCGCGGACUUCGGUCUGGCGGCGAGUGGCGAACGGGUGAGUAAUGUAUCGGAACGUGCCCAGUAGCGGGGGAUAACUACGCGAAAGCGUAGCUAAUACCGCAUACGCCCUACGGGGGAAAGCAGGGGAUCGUAAGACCUUGCACUAUUGGAGCGGCCGAUAGCGGAUUAGCUAGUUGGUGAGGUAACGGCUCACCAAGGCGACGAUCCGUAGCUGGUUUGAGAGGACGACCAGCCACACUGGGACUGAGACACGGCCCAGACUCCGACGGGAGGCAGCAGUGGGGAAUGUUGGACAAUGGGGGCAACCUUGAUCCAGCCAUCCCGCGUGUGUGAUGAAGGCCUUCGGGUGGUAAAGCACUUUUGGCAGGGAAGAAACGUCGCGGGCUAAUACCCCGUGGAACUGACGGUACCUGCAGAAUAAGCACCGGCUAACUACGUG
rnacentral:rRNA from 1 species